UGAAACUCAAUUUUUUUUUUCAUCAAACCCAUACGUGUGGGGUAUCUAUGGAUAGGUCUUCAAAAAUGAUAUUGAGGUUUCUAAUAUAAUUUUUUUCUAAACUGAAUAGUUUGCGCGAGAGACACUUCCAAAGUGUCCCCCCCCCCCCGUAACUUCUAAAAUAAGAGAAUGAUAAAACUAAAAAAAAUAUAUGAUGUACAUUACCAUGCAAACUUCCACCGAAAAUUGGUUUGAACGAGAUCUAGUAAGUAGUUUUUUUUUAAUACGUCAUAAA